UCUAUAUACGCUAGAUGCAGUAUCCAUCCAAUCUGUUUCAUGUUCCGAAAAUAAAUGAUGGAUAUCUACAAAUUAUAAUAAUUGCCUUCUAUCUUUUCGCAUCUUAUGCGAUAUUAUAGGUAAAAAUUUCGGAAGGAACUACUUUUAGUGGGAAUACAUUGAUAAGAUUGGCACACUGUAGAGUGAAUAAUAAUACAAUUACACAGUUAACUUUAACUUGUACCAUGUCUUACAAGAUACGACUUCUCCUUUGAAAUACCAAAAAGUAUUAAAAGGAGACUGUAAGAAAUGUCUAUAUACUAGAGGUGAUGUAAUGCUCAAUACUAAGGCAAUAACCUACUCGAUCUAAUCGAUAAGUAUUAAUACCCUUUCUUGUGCUUAACUUUAUUUUUGAAUUCUCUUUGAACUUCUUCAAAGUAUUCAAUUUCGCGAUCUAUAAGAUCCAUAUGACUUUUACUAUGACCUUCAUUAGUAAAAGCAAUGAAAUAUCAGAGAACCAUUCAUGAUCAUCAUAUGAUCGAUAUGCAUCACCAUACAUUAGUAUGAGUAUUUACUGGCUAUUAUACUUUGUCUCACAAAGGAUGAUUUAG
rnacentral:lncRNA from 1 species